UACGUAGGGGGCAAGCGUUGUCCGGAUUUAUUGGGCGUAAAGAGCGUGUAGGCGGCCAUACAGGUCCGUUGUGAAAACUGAAGGCUCAACCUUCAGAGGUCGAUGGAAACCGUUUGGCUAGAGUCCGGAAGAGGAGAGUGGAAUUCCUGGUGUAGCGGUGAAAUGCGCAGAUAUCAGGAAGAACACCCGUGGCGAAAGCGGCUCUCUGGGACGGUACUGACGCUGAGACGCGAAAGCGUGGGGAGCAAACAGGAUUAGAUACCCUGGUAGUCCACGCCGUAAACGAUGGGUGCUAGGUGUGGGAGGUGUCGACUCCUCCCGUGCCGCAGCUAACGCAUUAAGCACCCCGCCUGGGGAGUACGGCCGCAAGGCUA
rnacentral:rRNA from 1 species